UAUAUACAUUGUGUGCAAAAGGCAUGAGGUAGGUGAAUAAUUACAAUUAAAUAACACAUAUGAAAUCAUGUAGUAACCAAAAAAGUGUUAAAAUCAAAAUAUAUUUUAUAUUUGCGAUUCUUCAAGUAGCCAGCUUUUGCCUUGAUGACAGCUUUGCACACUCUUGGCAACCAGCUUCAUGAGGUAGUCACCUGGAAUGCAUUUCAAUUAACAGGUGUGCCUUGUUAAGUUCAUUUGUAGGGAAUUUCUUUCAUCUUAAUGAGUUUGAGCCAAUCAGUUGUGUUGUGACAAGGUAUGAGGGCUAUACAGAAGAUAACCCUAUUUUUUUAAAGAUCAAAUUCAUAGUAUGGCAAAAACAGCUCAAAUAAGUAAAGAGAAACAGUUCAUCAUUACUUUAAGACAUUCAGGUUAGUCAAUCCGGAAAAUUAAGAACUUUUAAAGUUUUUCCAAGUGCAGUCAGAAAAACCAUCAAGUGCUAUGGUGAAACUGGCUCUCAUGAGGACCGCCACAGGAAAGGAAGUCUCAGAGUUACCUCUGCAGUGGGACAAUGAUGAUGGAGUGCUGCAUCAGAUGACCUGGACUCCGCAAUCACCCGACUUCAAUCCAAUUGAGAUGGUUUGGGAUGAGUUGAACCACAGAGUGAAGGAAAAGUAGCCAACAAUUGCUCAGCAUGUGGGAACUCCUUCAAGACUGUUGGAAAAUCAUUCCAGGUGAAGCUGGUUGAGAGAAUGCCAAGAGUGUGCAAAGCUGUCAAGGCAAAGGGUGGCUACUUUGAAGAAUCUAAAAUAUUUUGAUUUGUUUAACACUUUGUUAUUACAUGAUUCCAUAUAUGCUAUUUCAUAGAUUUGAUGUCUUCACUAUUAUUUGACAAUGUAGAAAAUAGCUAAAAAUAAAGGAAAAACCCUUGAA